GUGUGCACUCUAGAACACCUGA
rnacentral:miRNA from 1 species